rnacentral:lncRNA from 1 species
CAGCUAACGCCUGUGGUUUACCUGAAUUUUUGUAGCUCGUUCAUCGUCUUGUUUGCUACUUCAUGCUAACCCUUUCGGCUUUCGGUUUGAGGAGGAGCCUGAAGGAGAAGAAGAAUGCAAUAACUUUUAGGGUAAAAGACUGUUUACUACCCUCAUGUUUCGUGGUUUUCAACAUUUAGUACAUCAUGUUUUUUUCGUCUCAGAGUCAUACCUAAAGUGUAAAUUUUGGGACAGUCUCAUACAUCCGUUAGUCAAACUGUUAAGUUUUUCGUUAACUGUGACGUGGCGCACUGAGUGGACGCCACGUAUCAUCCACGUUUUUUUUUUUUUUUUUUUUUUUUUUUUUUUGCUUCUUCCUUCCUUCCUUCCUUCCUUCCUUUUCUUCCCCUUCUUCCUUCUUCUUCCUUCUUCUUCCUCCGAAAUUUGGGGAAUGUUUUUUUUUUUCUUCUUCUUCUUCUCCUUCUUCCUUCCCUUCCUUCUUCCUUCUUCUUCUUCUUCUCUUCUUCUUCUUCCUCCGAAAUCUGGGGAAGUUUGUUUUUUUUUUUUUUUCUUUCUUCUUCUUCCUCCUUCUUUUCUUCUUUCUCUUUCCUCCUUCCUUCCUUCUUCUUCUUCUUCUUCUUCUUCUUCUUCUUCCUCCGAAUCUGCCCAGAUUCAAUUUUUUUUUUCUUCCUCCUUCUUCUCCUUCUUCCUUCCCCUUCUUCUCCUUCUUCGUUCUUCUUCUUCUUCCUCCGAAUUUGGGGGAAGAUGAAAGUGUUUUUUUUUUUUUUUUUUUGAGAAAGAAGAUGGAGAAGAAGAAGAUAGAAAGAAAAAAAAAACAUUCCCCAAAUUUCGGAGGAAGAAGAAGGAAGAAGGGGAAGAAAGGGAAAUGAAGGAGGAAGGAAGGAAGAAGCAAAAGGAAGAAGCAAAAAAAAAAAAAAAAAAAAAAAAAAGUAGAAAGUUGCAGUCGGAGGAAGAAGAAGAAGAAGGAAGAAGAAGAAAAAAAAAACGUGGAUGACACGUGGCGCCCACUCAGUGCGCCACGUCACAGUUAACGAAAAACUUAACAGUUUGACUAACGGAUGUAUGAGACUGUCCCAAAAUUUACACUUUAGGUAUGACUCUGAGACGAAAAAAACUUGAUGUACUAAAUGUUGAAAACCACGAAACAUUAGGGUUGUAAACAGUCUUUUACCCUAACUUUUAAGUUAUGGGGGAAGAGAUUUUACAGAUUGAAGAGCUCUACUGUUACUUGUAACAAUAAGUUGGAAUUUCUCCAAAUACAUUAGAGGUAGAUGUAUUUGACUCAUUGUCGAGUUGUAAUUUCACACAAGUAUUUAUGGUUUUAGUUUCAAUUUUUCUCAAUUUGU